rnacentral:rRNA from 1 species
CGAACGCUGGCGGCGUGGAUUAGGCAUGCAAGUCGAACGAGAAAGGCCCCUUCGGGGGCUGAUUAGAGUGGCGAACUGGUGAGUAUAAAGUGGGCAACGUGCCCGGUUGUGGGGGAUAACAUCGAGAAAUCGGUGCUAAUACCGCAUGUGUUCUUUUCUCUUAUGUGAAAAGAAGAAAGGUGCUCGGACUUCGGUUCGGGUGUCGCGACCGGAUCGGCUCACUCCCCAUUAGCUUGUUGGUGAGGUAACGGCUCACCAAGGCUACGAUGGGUAGCUGGCCUGAGAGGGUGGUCAGCCACACUGGGACUGGGAUACGGCCCAGACUCCUACGGGGGGCAGCAGUCUAGAGGCAUCCACAAUAGGGGAAACCCUGAUGGUGCGACGCCGCGUGUGGGAUGAAGGCCCUUGGGUUGUAAACCACUGUCAGGAGAGAAUAAGGUUCUAUAGCUGUCGCUAUAGGAAUUGAAGGUAUCUCCAGAGGAAGCACCGGCUAACUCC